rnacentral:rRNA from 1 species
AGAGUUUGAUCAUGGCUCAGGACGAACGCUGGCGGCGUGCCUAACACAUGCAAGUCGAGCGAAUGAAGUUCCUUCGGGAACGGAUUUAGCGGCGGACGGGUGAGUAACACGUGGGCAACCUGCCUCAUAGAGGGGAAUAGCCUUCCGAAAGGGAGAUUAAUACCGCAUAAGAUUGUAGUACCGCAUGGCACAGCAAUUAAAGGAGCAAUCCGCUAUGAGAUGGGCCCGCGGCGCAUUAGCUAGUUGGUGAGGUAACGGCUCACCAAGGCGACGAUGCGUAGCCGACCUGAGAGGGUGAUCGGCCACAUUGGGACUGAGACACGGCCCAGACUCCUACGGGAGGCAGCAGUGGGGAAUAUUGCACAAUGGGGGAAACCCUGAUGCAGCAACGCCGCGUGAGUGAUGACGGCCUUCGGGUUGUAAAGCUCUGUCUUCAGGGACGAUAAUGACGGUACCUGAGGAGGAAGCCACGGCUAACUACGUGCCAGCAGCCGCGGUAAUACGUAGGUGGCGAGCGUUGUCCGGAUUUACUGGGCGUAAAGGGAGCGUAGGCGGAUUUUUAAGUGAGAUGUGAAAUACUCGGGCUUAACCUGAGUGCUGCAUUUCAAACUGGAAGUCUAGAGUGCAGGAGAGGAGAAGGGAAUUCCUAGUGUAGCGGUGAAAUGCGUAGAGAUUAGGAAGAACACCAGUGGCGAAGGCGCUUCUCUGGACUGUAACUGACGCUGAGGCUCGAAAGCGUGGGGGAGCAAACAGGAUUAGAUACCCUGCUAGUCCACGCCGUAAACGAUGAAUACUAGUGUAGGGGUUGUCAUGACCUCUGUGCCGCCGCUAACGCAUUAAGUAUUCCGCCUGGGGAGUACGGUCGCAGAUUAAACUCAAAGGAAUUGACGG